UCAGGACGAACGCUGGCGGCGUGCCUAACACAUGCAAGUCGAGCGAGUGGAGUUCUUCGGAACAAAGCUAGCGGCGGACGGGUGAGUAACACGUGGGCAACCUGCCUCAUAGAGGGGAAUAGCCUCCCGAAAGGGAGAUUAAUACCGCAUAAGAUUGUAACUUCGCAUGAAGUAGCAAUUAAAGGAGCAAUCCGCUAUGAGAUGGGCCCGCGGCGCAUUAGCUAGUUGGUGAGGUAACGGCUCACCAAGGCGUCGAUGCGUAGCCGACCUGAGAGGGUGAUCGGCCACAUUGGGACUGAGACACGGCCCAGACUCCUACGGGAGGCAGCAGUGGGGAAUAUUGCACAAUGGGGGAAACCCUGAUGCAGCAACGCCGCGUGAGUGAUGACGGCCUUCGGGUUGUAAAGCUCUGUCUUCAGGGACGAUAAUGACGGUACCUGAGGAGGAAGCCACGGCUAACUACGUGCCAGCAGCCGCGGUAAUACGUAGGUGGCGAGCGUUGUCCGGAUUUACUGGGCGUAAAGGGAAUAGUAGGCGGAAUUUUAACUGGAAAGUGAAAUACCCCGGGCUUCACUCUGGGUGCUGCCUUUUUAACUGGNNGUCUNGNGUGCCGGNGNGGNGNNUGGNNUUCCUNGUGUUAGCGGGGAAAGGGGUGGAGAUUUGGAGGAACACCCCCGGGGAAGGGGAUUUUUUGGACUGUAACUACCGCUGAGGCUCGAAAGCGUGGGGGAGCAAACAGGAUUAGUUACCCUGGUAGUCCACCCCGUAAACGAUGAAUACUAGGUGUAGGGGUUGUCAUGACCUCUGUGCCGCCGCUAACGCAUUAAGUAUUCCGCCUGGGGAGUACGGUCGCAAGAUUAAAACUCAAAGGAAUUGACGGGGGCCCGCACAAGCAGCGGAGCAUGUGGUUUAAUUCGAAGCGACGCGAAGAACCUUACCUAGACUUGACAUCUCCUGCAUUACCCUUAAUCGGGGAAGUUCCUUCGGGGACAGGAAGACAGGUGGUGCAUGGUUGUCGUCAGCUCGUGUCGUGAGAUGUUGGGUUAAGUCCCGCAGCGAGCGCAACCCUUAUUGUUAGUUGCUACCAUUUAGUUGAGCACUCUAGCGAGACUGCCCGGGUUAACCGGGAGGAAGGUGGUGAUGACGUCAAAUCAUCAUGCCCCUUAUGUCUAGGGCUACACACGUGCUACAGUGGCAAGUACAAAGAGAAGCAAGACCGCGAGGUGGAGCAAAACUCAAAAACUUGUCUCAGUUCGGAUUGUAGGCUGAAACUCGCCUACAUGAAGCUGGAGUUGCUAGUAAUCGCGAAUCAGCAUGUCGCG
rnacentral:rRNA from 1 species